UCGGCCAAACACUGAACAAACAACAACGACGAUGGGAACGUAGCGAACGACCACACGACCGACGCCCAAGGUCACCCAACACCACCGGAAUAUCAUAAAAGAGCGCGACACGCCCGGACAACUCGAUUUCAGUCAAAGACAAAACCGCGGAGACUGGAUCUCAUUGUGGCAUUCUAUCAAACAGGCGGAGGCCGCUCCCGAAUCACAAGGUUUCUAGCUCAACUAGGACCCGAACCCAAACCAAGACUCUCACCAACAACAAUAAAACAUACAGCAACCAAAGAGGGAGUGAACAGGGCCGGAGUUCACGCAAACCAGUUGAACGUAAACUCCGGCUCGGGAUGCACGGAACCGGGUGAAAACAGGGCGCAAGGAGGACGUACCGGGUCCAAUUUGAGGACGUUGGCCGAGGAGUCGUCCGGCGGGGCUCGCACGCAGCUGAAGCGACGACUGAAGCUCCCUUGCUCUCCCUUAGUCGCUUCCUCGCUCGGACUUCUUUUCCCUCUCGGUUUCUCUCUGGUUCCUUUCAGCUCCUCCUCAGCUCUCUCGGUUCCUCAUAGUUCCAGAAGAAGGGCGUCGGGGAACCGGAUUCCGUGCAAUGUCGAGCCUCUCUUUGGCUCUUUACCCUCUCUCAAGUGCUUCUCUUGCUCCACCUCUCACUCUCGAGCACCUCUCUCGCUCAAGCUCUCCACCUUUUCUUCUGUCUCUACCCGGUUCUUUCUCCCAUUCUCCCUGUGCUUCCUCUCUUCCCCUUCUUUCCUGUUUUUCUUUUGCA
rnacentral:lncRNA from 1 species